UUGGAAGAAACGCUGCUUUGCGGCUGAUCAGUAUCUGGGACGAGAGAAAAGUCUUUGGUUCUCGAGGGCAGAUCCUGAAGGAAGAGUUUGCUGGAAAGCAUGUUGGGAAUGGAAAGCAUAGUGGAGGCAAAGUGAGAAACUCAGCUGGAGAUGCCCUUGACAAAAUAGUUUCAAGCUAUCAGAUAUUGUAUGGUGGUCAAAUUGAUGAAGAUGCGAUAUUGAGCAGAGCUAAAAAUGCUAUUAGCUGUGUUGCAAAAAUAGAUAAGAAGAUUGGGAGUGAUUUAAAUCCAGGCCAUCUUAAUGGAUCUGGUAUAGUGGAUGAGCUCAAGGGGCAGCACACAAUAUUGAAGGACUGUGUUGAGCAGCUAACAACUGUUGAGUCAUCCAGGGUAAACCUCAUCUCUCAUCUCAGAGAGGUCCUCCAGGAGCAGGAAUAUAAGUUGGAUCAAGUACGCAAUCAUCUUCAGGCUGCUCAGUCCCACGCAGAUCAGGUUGGGAGUAUUUGCGGACAGUUGCUGAAUUUUGAUGGCAAUGGGCAAAUCUUGGCUGAGCAGAAUAUAAAGGAAGCUAACACCUCCCAAGCUCCACAUUCGUUCAUAUCUGGAAAUCGCGAACAAUCUGCUCCAGUGAUGUACACUCGACAGGUAUCUUAUGAAAAAUCUGGCAACCUUGAGGAAGAUAUGAAGUCUGCGGCUGCUGCAGUGGCAGCAAAGCUGACUGCAUCAACAUCUUCAGCCCAGAUGCUGUCUUAUGUCCUCUCAUCCUUGGCAUCGGAGGGUGUCAUAGGCAACUCAACUAAAGAAUCUUUGCAUGAUAAUCAACCGGAGAAAAGGAUGAAGCUUGAAAAUGAUGGCUCUUGUUAUGCUCCCUCUCAGAAUCCUCAAGAAGCGGUUACAUUUUUCUCUCAGCCAAACUCAGUACAACACAAUCUUGCAAGCACUGGGCGGGAAUCAACUCCAACUGAACCACCUCCUCUACCAUCAUCGCCUCCACCAUUGGCACCGUUGCCUCCUAUGCAGCCAUAUCCAGCAGGUCAGAUCAUUCAGACAUCUGGGCAGUUGCCUAGUUCAACGUUUGUUUACGCAACAAGCCAGCAAGUGCAACCAGCUUCAACAUUGGGUGGUUUUGUCCCUCCAGUGAAUGGGAUUUCUCCUUUCACAUAUCCGGCGACAAUUGGUUAUCAAGGUUAUUCAAGUGAUAGUAGUUUAUAUAGCCACCAGUCUUCAUCCCUGCCGAUGGCACCAGUUAGCCGUCCGUAGGUUGUUAUUUUAGAGCUAUACAUAGCUUGUGUUGGUUAACUGGUCUGAUGUACAAGAAAGAUUAGGCUGUAACUAUGUAACUUUAUAUUGUGUUUUUGUUUCUAGAUUGGAGGUUGUUGUUGGUGUUAUUGCACUAGAAAGAAGUCGGUG
rnacentral:misc_RNA from 1 species